AAGUGGCAAGUCCUAUUUUGAUCAUAUCUUUGAAUAUGAUCCAUAGGAUUGUAUUAAAAUUGAAUAAAGCUUUGUUUAUAUAUUGGAUAAUGACAGUAUAUAUAUCCGUGUCUUGACUAAUUGCGUGCCAGCAGUCGCGGUAAUACGUAAGAGACUAGUGUUAUUCAUCUUAAUUAGGUUUAAAGGGUACCUAGACGGUCAAUAUAGCUUCUAAAAUGUUAGUACUUGACUAGAGNUUUAUGUAAGAGGGCAGUACUUGAGGAGGAGAGAUGANANUCUAUGAUNCCAANGGGACUCGGNAAAGGCNAAGGCANCCCUCUAUG
rnacentral:rRNA from 1 species